GACGAACGCUGGCGGCGUGCUUAACACAUGCAAGUCGUACGGUAAGGCCCUUUCGGGGGUACACGAGUGGCGAACGGGUGAGUAACACGUGAGUAACCUGCCCACAACUUUGGGAUAACGCUAGGAAACUGGUGCUAAUACUGGAUAUGUGCUCCUGCUGCAUGGUGGGGGUUGGAAAGCUCCGGCGGUUGUGGAUGGACUCGCGGCCUAUCAGCUUGUUGGUGGGGUAGUGGCCUACCAAGGCGGCGACGGGUAGCCGGCCUGAGAGGGUGACCGGCCACAUUGAGACUGAGAUACGGCCCAGACUCCUACGGGAGGCAGCAGUGGGGAAUAUUGCACAAUGGGCGCAAGCCUGAUGCAGCAACGCCGCGGGCGGGAUGACGGCCUUCGGGUUGUAAACCGCUUUCAGCAGGGACGAAGCUUUUUGUGACGGUACCUGCAGAAGAAGCACCGGCUAACUACGUG
rnacentral:rRNA from 1 species